rnacentral:lncRNA from 1 species
CCCUCCGAUGAGAGGAGUGUUGGUGAUGACGAUGGCGACAAUUUCCCCCUCCGGGAGUGAAGUUUCCCCGGCAGGAUCGUCAUGUCGGAGCUCUAGAUUGGUUCUGCUCAAGUUCCGCCUCGUGGCGGUGGCGAAUCCACGGAAAAGCCCAUCUCUGAUUUUUUUUCCGGACGAAACCCUUCAUAUAGCAGAAGAGGGGGGCCCAGUGGGCCAGCAGGCUACCCACAAGCCCC